CCUGGAUGAAGGAACCUACCGAAACCCCCUUGUACUCACGAUCAGUCGCUGCGGUUCUGGCUGGGACAGCUCCAAAGCAGCAAACCUCAGCAUCGCUGAGCUCUGCUCUCUGAUGACUGCAAUGGGAUCUGAGGGAACUGCAUGAAGCUGCAACAGUCUGUAUCUCUUGACCUGAAGGAGAGCUGAACAAUCUAGUAUGCCUCCCAUUCCUUUGUGGUUACCACAGUAUUCAGCUGCUUCUGCCCUUCCCUACAGCAUGAGUGUCCAACCUUUUAGCUUGCCUGCGCUGCAGUGAGGAAAGAGGAAUUGCCUUUGGCUGCAUUUAUCAAGGUUGCUCUGAAACAUCUCCUAUUUAUUUCUAUACUAACUACAACAGGCACAAAGAAUACAAUAGCACUAUUUAACAGAGAAAAUUCUCAACCACAGAACACUCUUUUUCAGUAUAGUUACCACCAUUAUCUGUGCAUUUUUAUCAGUGAUGAACAAGAGUCUUCAUGCUGUAUUCACAACAGUCUGUACCAGAAGAGGUGACGCACUGUCACAGUCACCACUGCUGAAACACACCAUACACCAUAUCACUGUGCUCACAUUCAUGGUUUGGUCUCCAGAAACAUUCAACAAGUCAAUGAGUGCCAUUUUUUC
rnacentral:lncRNA from 1 species